GGAAUAUUGGGCAAUGGGCGAGAGCCUGACCCAGCCAUGCCGCGUGCAGGAUGAAGGCCUUCUGGGUUGUAAACUGCUUUUGAUCGGGAACAAAGAGUCCAUGCGUGGACAGUUGAGUGUACCGAUAGACUAAGCACCGGCUAACCCCGUGCCAGCAGCCGCGGUAAUACGGAGGGUGCAAGCGUUGUCCGGAUUUAUUGGGUUUAAAGGGUGCGUAGGCGGCUAUUUAAGUCAGUGGUGAAAUCCAACAGCUUAACUGUUGAACUGCCAUUGAUACUGGAUGGCUUGAGUACAGACGAGGUAGGCGGAAUUUAUGGUGUAGCGGUGAAAUGUAUAGAUACCAUAAAGAACACCGAUUGCGAAGGCAGCUUACUAGGCUGUAACUGACGCUGAGGCACGAAAGUGUGGGGAUCAAA
rnacentral:rRNA from 1 species